rnacentral:rRNA from 1 species
UACGGAGGGUGCAAGCGUUAUCCGGAUUCACUGGGUUUAAAGGGUGCGUAGGCGGACACUUAAGUCCGUGGUGAAAUCUCUGGGCUUAACCCAGAAACUGCCGUUGAUACUAUCUGUCUUGAAUGCCGUGGAGGUGAGCGGAAUAUGUCAUGUAGCGGUGAAAUGCUUAGAUAUGACAUAGAACACCAAUUGCGAAGGCAGCUCACUACACGAACAUUGACUCUGAGGCACGAAAGCGUGGGGAUCAAACAGG